rnacentral:rRNA from 1 species
AUACGGAGGGUGCAAGCGUUGUUCGGAAUCACUGGGCGUAAAGGGCGCGCAGGCGGUUUUACAAGUCAGAUGUGAAAGCCCACGGCUCAACCGUGGAAGUGCAUUUGAAACUGUAAGACUUGAGUAUCAGAGGGGAAGGUGGAAUUCCCGGUGUAGAGGUGAAAUUCGUAGAUAUCGGGAGGAAUGCCGGUGGCGAAGGCGACUUUCUGGCUGAAUACUGACGCUGAGGCGCGAAAGCGUGGGGAGCAAACAGGAUUAGAAACCCUAGUAGUCC